rnacentral:rRNA from 1 species
UUAGAAAUUAGCAAUGCAUGUCUAAGUACAAGCCGCUAGUCGGCGAAACCGCGAAUGGCUCAAUAAAUCAGUUAUGGUUCCUUAGAUCCACUCCAUCCUACUUGGAUAACUGUGGUAAUUCUAGAGCUAAUACAUGCACUCGAGCCUCGACUGCGUACUCGUUUCGGCGGGCGCGCAGAAGAGGUGCUUUUAUUAGAUCAAAACCAGUCGGGGAAGGGAGCGCUCUUCGGGGCGUUCUCGGAACCGUACCAAUUUUGGUGACUCUGGAUAACUUCACGCCGAUCGUACGGCCUUUGCGCCGACGACGUAUCUUUCAAAUGUCUGCCUUAUCAACUGUCGAUGGUAGGUUACGCGCCUACCAUGGUUGCAACGGGUAACGGGGAAUCGGGGUUCGAUUCCGGAGAGGGAGCCUGAGAAACGGCUACCACAUCCAAGGAAGGCAGCAGGCGCGCAAAUUACCCACUCCCGGCACGGGGAGGUAGUGACGAAAAAUAACGAUACGGGACUCUUCCGAGGCCCCGUGAUUGGAAUGAGUACACUUUAAAUCCUUUAACGAGGAACCAUUGGAGGGCAAGUCUGGUGCCAGCAGCCGCGGUAACUCCAGCUCCAAUAGCGUAUAUUAAAGUUGUUGCGGUUAAAAAGCUCGUAGUCGGAUGUCUGUCUUCGGCCGGGCGGCGCCGCUCUGAAACAAGGGUGUUGCGUUUCACGCUCUGGGAGCCCGGGUGUCAAAGCCCGACUCUCUUUACGGUCGGACAACAUCGCCGGAGUGGUGGUCGGUGAUUUGUGGUUGUAUCGGUUUUUUUUCUCUCGACGGCUUCGCGGCUUGAGUGAGGAAGAGAUCGUUGACUCGAAUCGCUCCACCCAGUCAAUCGUUCGGGGUGCCCUUCACCGGGUGUCUCGGGCGGCCGGCAACGUUUACUUUGAACAAAUUAGAGUGCUCAAAGCAGGUGUAUCCCAACGCCUGAAUAUCGCAGCAUGGAAUGAUGGAAUAGGACCUCGGUCCGAUUUUGCUGGUCUUUUACUUUUGGACCCGAGGUAAUGGUCAAUAGAGACGGACGGGGGCAUUCGUACUGCGGCGACAGAGGUGAAAUUCUUGGACCGCCGCAAGACGAACAACAGCGAAGGCAUUUGCCAAGAAUGUUUUCCUUGAUCAAGAACGAAAGUUAGAGGUUCGAAGGCGAUCAGAUACCGCCCUAGUUCUAACCAUAAACGAUGCCAACCAGCAAUCCGUCGGAGUUACUCCAAUGACUCGACGGGCAGCUUCCGGGAAACCAAAGUCUUUGGGUUCCGGGGGAAGUAUGGUUGCAAAGCUGAAACUUAAAGGAAUUGACGGAAGGGCACCACCAGGAGUGGAGCCUGCGGCUUAAUUUGACUCAACACGGGAAACCUCACCAGGCCCGGACACUGGAAGGAUUGACAGAUUGAGAGCUCUUUCUUGAUUCGGUGGGUGGUGGUGCAUGGCCGUUCUUAGUUGGUGGAGCGAUUUGUCUGGUUAAUUCCGAUAACGAACGAGACUCUAGCCUGCUAAAUAGGUGACGGGUUUUAUCAAUUGAAACCGAAGGGAGUACGGAGGCGUCGGGAUCAGGUGGCGUUGGUUUCGGGUUUCAGCUGGUUCAGUUCCUUUAGUGAAGUUGUUUAGCUGUCUCGGUUUUUUGCUUGUCGUUUCGGAAAGGGGGGUUGCGGCGCAAGUCGUGGCUUUCUGGACUGGGCGAUGGGUGAGGGCUUGGAUGGCGGCGCUACGCGGGGGUUGGAUCGACUGUUAUUCGGCCAGUGUCAUCCCCGGCGAUACCUUCUGCUCUCGCGUCCGUCACGCAGUCUUCUUAGAGGGACAAGCGGCGUCCAGCCGCGUGACAGUGAGCAAUAACAGGUCUGUGAUGCCCUUAGAUGUCCUGGGCCGCACGCGCGCUACACUGAAGGAAUCAGCGUGUUUCACUCUCCCUGUCCGAAAGGACCGGGUAACCCCGCUGAACCCUCCCUUUUGGGU